rnacentral:rRNA from 1 species
UGAGUUUGAUUCUGGCUCAGGAUGAACGCUGGCGGCGUGCUUAACACAUGCAAGUCGAACGAACCUUCGGGUUAGCGGCGGACGGGUGAGUAACGCGUGAGAAUCUGCCCUCAGGAGGGGGAUAACGGUUGGAAACGACCGCUAAUACCCCAUAUGCCUAUUGGUGAAAUGAAUUUCGCCUGAGGAUGAGCUCGCGUCUGAUUAGCUAGUUGGUGAGGUAAUGGCUCACCAAGGCUUCGAUCAGUAGCUGGUCUGAGAGGACGAUCAGCCACACUGGGACUGAGACACGGCCCAGACUCCUACGGGAGGCAGCAGUGGGGAAUUUUCCGCAAUGGGCGAAAGCCUGACGGAGCAACGCCGCGUGAGGGACGAAGGCCUCUGGGCUGUAAGCCUCUUUUCUCAAGGAAGAAGAUAUGACGGUACUUGAGGAAUAAGCCACGGCUAAUUCCGUGCCAGCAGCCGCGGUAAUACGGGAGUGGCAAGCGUUAUCCGGAAUUAUUGGGCGUAAAGCGUCCGCAGGCGGCUUUUCAAGUCUGCUGUUAAAACGUGGAGCUUAACUCCAUCAUGGCAGUGGAAACUGAAAGGCUUGAGUAUGGUAGGGGC